rnacentral:rRNA from 1 species
UGGGGGAUAUUGCACAAUGGGCGAAAGCCUGAUGCAGCGACGCCGCGUGGGGGAUGAAGGCCUUCGGGUUGUAAACUUCUUUUGCUCUGAACAAGGCACGCUAAUGGGUGUGUUGAGUGUAGGGGUUGAUUAGCGCCGGCUAACUACGUGCCAGCAGCCGCGGUAAUACGUAGGGCGCGAGCGUUGUCCGGAAUUAUUGGGCGUAAAGGGCUUGUAGGUGGCUGGUUGCGUCUGUCGUGAAAGCUCAUGGCUUAACUGUGGGUUUGCGGUGGGUACGGGCUGGCUUGAGUGCAGUAGGGGAGGCUGGAAUUCCUGGUGUAGCGGUGGAAUGCGCAGAUAUCAGGAGGAAUACCGGUGGCGAAGGCGGGUCUCUGGGCUGUUACUGACACUGAGGAGCGAAAGCAUGGGGAGCGAACAGG